AGAGUUUGAUCCUGGCUCAGGACGAACGCUGGCGGCGUGCUUAACACAUGCAAGUCGAGCGAUGAAACACCUUCGGGUGUGAAUUAGCGGCGAACGGGUGAGGAACACGUGAGAAAUCUGCCUUCAACACUGGGAUAACUCCGGGAAACCGGGGCUAAUACCGGAUAUGAAAUCUGCGGGCAUCCGCGGAUUUGGAAAGUUUUUCGGUUGAAGAUGAUCUCGCGGCCUAUCAGCUUGUUGGUGAGGUAAUGGCUCACCAAGGCGACGACGGGUAGCCGGCCUGAGAGGGCGACCGGCCACACUGGGACUGAGACACGGCCCAGACUCCUACGGGAGGCAGCAGUGGGGAAUAUUGGGCAAUGGAGGAAACUCUGACCCAGCGACGCCGCGUGCGGGAUGAAGGCCUUCGGGUUGUAAACCGCUUUCAGCAGGGAAGAAGCGAAAGUGACGGUACCUGCAGAAGAAGCACCGGCUAACUAUGUGCCAGCAGCCGCGGUAAUACAUAGGGUGCAAGCGUUGUCCGGAAUUAUUGGGCGUAAAGAGCUCGUAGGUGGUUCGUCACGUCGGAUGUGAAACUCUGGGGCUUAACCCCAGACCUGCAUUCGAUACGGGCGAGCUUGAGUAUGGUAGGGGAGUCUGGAAUUCCUGGUGUAGCGGUGGAAUGCGCAGAUAUCAGGAGGAACACCAAUGGCGAAGGCAGGACUCUGGGCCAUUACUGACACUGAGGAGCGAAAGCGUGGGGAGCGAACAGGAUUAGAUACCCUGGUAGUCCACGCCGUAAACGGUGGGCACUAGUUGUGGGGACCUUCCACGGUCUCUGCGACGCAGCUAACGCAUUAAGUGCCCCGCCUGGGGAGUACGAUCGCAAGAUUAAAACUCAAAGGAAUUGACGGGGCCCCGCACAAGCAGCGGAGCAUG
rnacentral:rRNA from 1 species